AUCAAUCAUAGGGCACCUCUUUCUUGGCAGGCACUGGCUCCUAUAUAUGAAUAUACAUAGCUUAGCUGCAGUAAAAAGAUGUGACUUGCCAAAGGAGAGUUGCCCUGUGACUGCUUC